CAUUAUGAAAACGUGUUCUGAGAGUCGCUGCGAGUGCUUUCUCGAUUUCUUCUUGCACUGUUUUCAAACUUGACAUUUUCGAUACAAGAAGAAACACAACUGCUCACAUGAUUCGUCUCGUAGUAUUUAUUCAUUUCUCGGAAUCAUAUCUUCUCCCUUUCUGUUCCUGUCGCCUGUUUCCUCCACGGUUCCUGUGAAUCAUCGAAAUUCGAAACUGACGAAACAUCGAAGUAACAAUCUCUAAACCUGCGAACGGGCAUGCUCUGGUUUUCAUUUAUCCAGUCAUUAAUCUUAAAUCCGGAUUACAAACCGCUGGUCUGAGUCCAGGUAAAAAUGCAAAAAACAUUGAAAGCUUGCAAAUGAGACAAAUCAUUUUAAUUAAGG